rnacentral:rRNA from 1 species
UACGGGGGGGGGCAAGCGUUGUUCGGAAUUACUGGGCGUAAAGGGCUCGUAGGUGGCCAACUAAGUCAGACGUGAAAUCCCUCAGCUUAACUGGGGAACUGCGUCUGAUACUGGAUGGCUUGAGUUUGGGAGAGGGAUGCGGAAUUCCAGGUGUAGCGGUGAAAUGCGUAGAUAUCAGGAGGAACACCGGUGGCGAAGGCGGCUACCUGGACAGAAACUGACGCUGGAGGCGCGAAAGCUAGGGGAGCAAACAGG